AUACGUAGGUGGCAAGCGUUGUCCGGAAUUAUUGGGCGUAAAGCGCAUGUAGGCGGUAAUUUAAGUCUGUCGUGAAACUGCGGGGCUCAGCCCCGUAUGGCGAUGGAAACUGGGUUACUUGAGUGCAGGAGAGGAAAGGGGAACUCCCAGUGUAGCGGUGAAAUGCGUAGAUAUUGGGAAGAACACCGGUGGCGAAGGCGCCUUUCUGGACUGUGUCUGACGCUGAGAUGCGAAAGCCAGGGUAGCGAACGGGAUUGGAUACCCCGGUAGUCCUGGCCGUAAACGAUGGGUACUAGGUGUGGGAGGUAUCGACCCCUUCCGUGCCGGAGUUAACGCAAUAAGUACCCCGCCUGGGGAGUACGGCCGCAAGGCUUAAACUCAAAUGAAUUGACGGGG
rnacentral:rRNA from 1 species